rnacentral:misc_RNA from 1 species
CGGAUUUUCAAGAAGUUCCCUCGAUUUCUCUGGGAUCCCAUCAUCAGAUCCUGGUUUCCUUAUCAUGGUACUAAACUAGGGAUAUCUUCUUUUCAACAAAAAAAGAAUUAUCAAAAUCGGUACAUCCAGUAGAAAGUCAUGCGGUAUAAUACAACGUAGGUCGACGAAAAAAGCGUCAAGUAAAAACGCAUUAUUAGAUAUAACUCGAAAA